rnacentral:rRNA from 1 species
GACGGAGGAUGCAAGCGUUAUCCGGAAUGAUUGGGCGUAAAGCGUCCGCAGGUGGCAGUUCAAGUCUGCUGUCAAAGACCGGGGCUUAACUUCGGAAAGGCAGUGGAAACUGAACAGCUAGAGUAUGGUAGGGGCAGAGGGAAUUCCUGGUGUAGCGGUGAAAUGCGCAGAUAUCAGGAGGAACACCAAUUGCGAAGGCAGCUCGCUGGGACGUUACUGACGCUGAGACGCGAAAGCGUGGGGAGCGAACAGG